CUUACUCUUGCUAUUCAUCAAAAUACAGGGUGCUGUUGCCUUUUAAAGACCUCAAAGCUGAGGUCAACACAUCCAGGAUGUGCCACUGUCACCUCAGAGAGAAGUUCACCAGAUGCUGCUGGCCGCCCAUUCAGCCGGUAGCUCCAGCCAACACAUCCUGGAAGGCAUCCUUUCAUCUCCACAUCAGGACAACGCAGAUAAGAAGGAGCUAGACCCAGAGGAAUGAGCUGCAUGUCACACUUCAUUUCACACAGUCCCCAAGCAGGCAGCCCACCUCCUGGCACAGCUGGAGACAGGGCUGGAUCGACACAGGCCUCAGGUCCUGUCAGGUGCUGAGGGAAUCCAUAUUGGAGGCGUUCUGCACUGCAGGAUUCCAUCCUCUGUGUGACCACACAGGAGGUCGUGGGCCUUGCUGGGUCUGACCUUGUACCCUCACGGCUUCUAUGGCAUCUCUGCCUCCUUUCCUUGUGGCACAGCACAGUGCUUUUGUAUUUCUGCGGAACACGAGUGGGCUUUGGACUGGGCAGGUACACACAAUCAAUUUUACUUCUACUAUCCUCUUAGUAACACUGAGAGCCCUUGGUACAGCAUGCACUGUGCACGCCCUUGUGAGCAGCGGGUCCUGAGCCAGAGACUUGGUCUGAAUCAUCUGCGGGGAGUCACUGAGAGUGCCUUCAGCUGUGCAGAGGAAUAAGCCACGCUACCGAGCCUGGCUGUCUCAGCCUCCAUGAUCUCAGCCGCCCAGCGCUUUGCUGGCUUUGCCUGUGCUAAGAGUUGGCCAACAGCACACCUUGGCUGGGAUUUCCAGGCAGAGCCGCCUCUGAAAGCGGAGCAGGGUGGAGAGCCUGGCUCCAUCCAUCCUUGCCAUCAGUCCAACAAGAGUCGCUCCUGUGGCAGAACAAACAGAAAUAUUGUUUCUCCAAUUUAGGCUAUGCCAGCUCUUAUUUUUCAUGUUCUAUCUGUGCUAUAACUUAGUUGAUGCAGCAGGUGCUUUUUAAACAAAGGGAGAUAUAUUGCUUUCCUGUUUAUUUCGUGUUUGAUAACUUCUAGGUUGAUACAUUCUGCCUAUGCCAUCCUUAAUAGAAACAGGAUUCAAGAGGGCUGUUGUAAUAUCAUAGGAGCCAGUGUUAAAGAAGGGCUGGUACUUUGGGAAGCCUUAACCCUCUGCUCACCAGGCAAGGCUGAUUCUUACAUAUGUGGUCACUCAAGAGUUCCCAGUUCCCACUUUAAACCAAAGCAAACGGCAGGAAAUUAAGAU